GCAAGUAAAGUAAAUCUGGGGUCAGAGUGAAGCUCAGCUAGCGGACAUGUCCCGACUUGUCAGCUGUUGGUUAGCUAAACCUGCACCAUUCAAGUUGAAUUAAAAAUAAUACAAAAUCCUCCUGGACCUUCUGGACACAUUUAAGAUGCUGGCUUCAAGCUGCUGUAAACUGAAGCUUCUCUAAAUGCACAGCCUCACCUGAUUUGCUGAGUUGCAGUAAUCGGGAGGAAGAUGAACUCUGAACUGAUUCACCCGCAUCCGCAUCCAUCUGUGGACAGUAGAAGCUGUCCCUGACUUAAUCUG